AGAGAUGUGUGAUGACGCAUAUCAAUAAGCGGAGGAAAAGAAACUAACAAGGAUUCCCUUAGUAACGGCGAGUGAAGCGGGAAGAGCUCAAAUUUGAAAUCUUCAAGGUUCUACCUUGACGAAUUGUAGUUUAUAGAAGUGUUUUCUGUUAGUAGAGUGGCAAAAGUUCUUUGGAAUAGGACAUCAUAGAGGGUGAGAAUCCCGUAUUUGGUCAUUCUUUCUAGCUUUGUGAUACACUUUCAACGAGUCGGAUUGUUUGGGAAUGCAGUCCAAAAUGGGUGGUAAAUUUCAUCUAAAGCUAAAUAUUGGCGAGAGACCGAUAGCGAACAAGUACCGUGAGGGAAAGAUGAAAAGAACUUUGAAAAGAGAGUUAAACAGUACGUGAAAUUGUCAAAAGGGAAGCGUUUGACACCAGUGUUGUUUUUCCGAAAAUCAAUUACGAAUGUUUUGUUUUUAAGAAGUUAUGACUUCAUCGGCUUGCUUCUUUCUUUAUGAAACUUUCUUAAUGCACUUUUCGGUUAACAAGUCAACAUCAAUUUCUUUUGUUGUAAAAGGGUACUGAGGAAGGUGGCUUUCUUUUCGGAGAAAGUGUUUAUAGCCUUGUACUUCUGCAAUCGGAGAGAUUGAGGUCUGCAGCGUAGAUCCUUCGGGGUUAGAUACACUUGUGCUAAGUUAUAGCUUUUCAUAGACAACUUGUUGAUUAUGAUUAAGUCUUGUAGCUUACUCGCUUAUGCUAUUUUACCUACGCUUAGGAUGUUGACGAUCAGCUGAGCGCG
rnacentral:rRNA from 1 species